AUACGGAGGAUCCGAGCGUUAUCCGGAUUUAUUGGGUUUAAAGGGUGCGCAGGCGGCCAUUUAAGUCAGCGGUUAAAUCGUGGGGCUCAACCCCAUUCUGCCGUUGAUACUGGGUGGCUUGAUUGCGGUCGAGGUUGGCGGAAUUCGUUGUGUAGCGGUGAAAUGCAUAGAUAUGACGAAGAACACCGAUUGCGUAGGCAGCUGACCAGACCGCAAACGACGCUCAUGCGCGAAAGUGCGGGGAUCGAACAGGAUUAGAUACCCUGGUAGUCCGCACAGUAAGCGAUGAAUGCUUGUUUUCGGCGAUAUAAUGUCGGAGGCAAAGCGAAAGCGAUAAGUAUUCCACCUGGGGAGUACGCCGGCAACGGUGAAACUCAAAGGAAUUGACGGGG
rnacentral:rRNA from 1 species